rnacentral:tRNA from 1 species
CCUGGUGGCUCAGGCUGUAAAGCAUCUGCUUGGAAUGCAGGAGACCCAGGUUCGAUCCCUGGGUCAGGA